CUGGUCGCUGGCGGGCGCGCCGUCGCCGUUGGUGCGGCCGGCGGCGAAGGUGCGCGCGCGUUCGAUCGCGGCGGCCAGGC
rnacentral:tRNA from 2 species